rnacentral:rRNA from 1 species
UACGGGGGGGGCAAGCGUUGUUCGGAAUUACUGGGCGUAAAGGGCUCGUAGGCGGCCAACUAAGUCGGAUGUGAAAUCCCCAGGCUCAACCUGGGAACUGCAUCCGAUACUGGAUGGCUUGAAUCCGGGAGAGGGAUGCAGAAUUCCAGGUGUAGCGGUGAAAUGCGUAGAUAUCUGGAGGAAUACCGGUGGCGAAGGCGGCAUCCUGGACCGGCAUUGACGCUCAGGCGCGAAAGCUAGGGGAGCGAACAGG